CAUAGGUUUGAGGAUGGGAACCUGGGGAACUGAAACAUCUAAGUACCCAGAGGAAAAGAAAUUAUUCCCCCAGUAGUGGCGAGCGAACGGGGAAAAGCCCAAACCGCUUCUGCUUGCAGAAGCGGGGUUGUAGGACCGGCAAUACGGAAGUUACAAAAUAAUCAGUUAGCGGAAAGGUGUGGGAAAGCCUGCCAAAAGAGGGUGAUAGCCCCGUAUGCGAAAACUGAUUAUCUUCCGCCGUGUUCCUGAGUACUGCCGUGCACGCUAAUACGGCAGGAAUCUAGGGAGUCCACUCUCUAAGGCUAAAUACACUUGGCGACCGAUAGUGAACUAGUACCGUGAGGGAAAGGUGAAAAGUACCCCUCGUUAGGGGAGUGAAUAGAACCUGAAACCAAUAAGACUUACAAGCAGUUGGA
rnacentral:rRNA from 1 species